UUUUGGUUGUCUUUUAGCUUU
ensembl:piRNA 21ur-12635 ncRNA